CGCCGGAGCUAAAAAUCAAACACAUACACUCGAAAAAAAAAACAAAUAAAGCAACAUAGUUGUUAAUUGCGAGCACACAAUGCAAAUAGGUUAGGAAUGAGCCAAACCACGACGUGUUGUAAAAUAUUCCACUGCACAUUCAGUCGAUAUGAGCACACAAUGCAAAUAGGUUAGGAAUUAACCAAACCAACGAAAACAUUCCACAUUCAUUCGUUAAAACCAUUCAAAAUCCAAGUAGGAGCAACAUGGUGUAAUGGUGUUAGUUAGUUGUCAAAUUGACCAUUAUAAUUAUCUUAACAAUCCACGCAAUUUAAACCAUUAAAAAUAGGUACAUACCAGCAUGCGCCCAUAUUUUCUGAAAAAGAAGAAAAUAUUGUUAUUACAGGUAAUAACUGAUCCAAAUAAUCAUAAGCAGAUACUCGAUAUUUAUUAUUUUUUCGAUUUAAUACAGGUAAAAUACUUACAUUAUGUAAUUUAACCCGAACACCACAAGACUGCAACUUAGUUAAAAGUUCGUUCAUCAAAUUUGAUCAAGUUUCAAAGAUGGAGUGGGUUUUUUUUUAUAUGUACCUAUAGUGUUUUACGGCUCUGGGUGCAAGCUCUUUUAAGCCAGGAGUAUGGUUAUUGCACAGAUAAUAUAAUUUGUUUUUAUUAUUUUCCAGGAACAUAUUAUGUAAAAUUUCAUUUUGUUCUUGAUUAUUACCGAUACCUUUGAAUUAAUUUAAUAUAUCAAGGAUUUUUUCCGCUUGACGUUUCAGUUGUUAGACUGUAACCUUUUAGGAGGGUAAUUAUUUAUAUAUUUCAUGUGAUUACUCGAAGUCAACAGAUUUUUUAUUAUAAAUAAAAUUUAAUUAUAAGAAGAAAAACUAAAUACAUUGGGUUAACUUUAAAAUGAAUCUACCAAUCGUCGGAUAAAACUAGUCUCUGUCUAAUCUAUGGAAGAAACUAUUUCUUAGUACCCAGAGCCGUAAAACAUCGUAUUAAAAAAAAACUAGACCGGGACGUCGACGUGUAGGUAUUGCCAACAUCAUCAAAACUAGACCGGAAACUAUCAAGAAAUGUUUUGUAAAUAGGAAUGGACGACUUGGAGUUAUUUUUAAAUGUAGUACAACAUUAUAAAAACAUGUUAAAUAAUGAUUUAAUGUCCUUAAAUUUGCGACAUCAAUCAAAAUAUUUUAAGUACCUACUUUUAAAAAUAAAAAUUACGGUUUUGAGUAAACGGAAACGCCUCUAAGGCGGCUCGCGUCGUCACAUUGCGUUAAUAUUCCGAUAGAUGGCGUCAGAGUAGAGUGUAGU